UACAGAGGUCUCAAGCGUUGUUCGGAUUCAUUGGGCGUAAAGGGUGCGUAGGUGGCGGGGUAAGUCAGGUGUGAAAUUUCGGAGCUCAACUCCGAAACUGCAUUUGAUACUGCCUUGCUUGAGGACUGGAGAGGAGACUGGAAUUCACGGUGUAGCAGUGAAAUGCGUAGAUAUCGUGAGGAAGACCAGUGGCGAAGGCGGAUCUCUGGACAGUUACUGACACUGAGGCACGAAGGCCAGGGGAGCAAACGGG
rnacentral:rRNA from 1 species